rnacentral:rRNA from 1 species
UCGGGAAUAUUGCGCAAUGGAGGAAACUCUGACGCAGUGACGCCGCGUGCAGGAAGAAGGUUUUCGGAUUGUAAACUGCUUUAGACAGGGAAGAAAAAAAUGACAGUACCUGUAGAAUAAGCUCCGGCUAACUACGUGCCAGCAGCCGCGGUAAUACGUAGGGAGCAAGCGUUAUCCGGAUUUAUUGGGUGUAAAGGGUGCGUAGACGGGAAGACAAGUUAGUUGUGAAAUCCCUCGGCUUAACUGAGGAACUGCAACUAAAACUAUCAUUCUUGAGUGCUGGAGAGGAAAGUGGAAUUCCUAGUGUAGCGGUGAAAUGCGUAGAUAUUAGGAGGAACACCAGUGGCGAAGGCGACUUUCUGGACAGUAACUGACGUUGAGGCACGAAAGUGUGGGGAGCAGACAGGAUUAGAUACCC